GAGCCUUUGGCGAGAGGGGAUUGU
rnacentral:piRNA from 1 species